AGAGUUUGAUCCUGGCUCAGGAUGAACGCUGGCGGCGUGCUUAACACAUGCAAGUCGAACGAGCCUUCGGGCUAGUGGCGGACGGGUGAGUAACGCGUUAGAAUCUGCCCUCAGGAGGGGGAUAACGGCUGGAAACGGCCGCUAAUACCCCAUAUGCCGCGAGGUGAAAUGAGAAAUCGCCUGAGGAUGAGCUCGCGUCUGAUUAGCUAGUUGGUGGGGUAAGAGCCUACCAAGGCAUCGAUCAGUAGCUGGUCUGAGAGGAUGAUCAGCCACACUGGGACUGAGACACGGCCCAGACUCCUACGGGAGGCAGCAGUGGGGAAUUUUCCGCAAUGGGCGCAAGCCUGACGGAGCAACGCCGCGUGAGGGAUGAAGGCCUCUGGGCUGUAAACCUCUUUUCUCAAGGAAGAAGAACUGACGGUACUUGAGGAAUAAGCCACGGCUAAUUCCGUGCCAGCAGCCGCGGUAAUACGGGAGUGGCAAGCGUUAUCCGGAAUUAUUGGGCGUAAAGCGUCCGCAGGCGGUCUUGAAAGUCUGUUGUUAAAGCGUGGAGCUCAACUCCAUUUCAGCAAUGGAAACUAGAAGACUAGAGUGUGGUAGGGGCAGAGGGAAUUCCCGGUGUAGCGGUGAAAUGCGUAGAUAUCGGGAAGAACACCAGUGGCGAAGGCGCUCUGCUGGGCCAUAACUGACGCUCAUGGACGAAAGCCAGGGGAGCGAAAGGGAUUAGAUACCCCUGUAGUCCUGGCCGUAAACGAUGAACACUAGGUGUCGGGGGAAUCGACCCCCUCGGUGUCGUAGCCAACGCGUUAAGUGUUCCGCCUGGGGAGUACGCACGCAAGUGUGAAACUCAAAGGAAUUGACGGGGGCCCGCACAAGCGGUGGAGUAUGUGGUUUAAUUCGAUGCAACGCGAAGAACCUUACCAGGGUUUGACAUCCUGCGAAUCUUUUGGAAACAGAAGAGUGCCUUCGGGAGCGCAGAGACAGGUGGUGCAUGGCUGUCGUCAGCUCGUGUCGUGAGAUGUUGGUUAAGUCCCGCAACGAGCGCAACCCACGUCUUUAGUUGCCAGCAUUGAGUUGGGCACUCUAGAGAGACCGCCGGUGAUAAACCGGAGGAAGGUGUGGAUGACGUCAAGUCAUCAUGCCCCUUACAUCCUGGGCUACACACGUACUACAAUGCUACGGACAGAGGGCAGCAAACUCGCGAGAGCUAGCAAAUCCCAUAAACCGUGGCUCAGUUCAGAUCGUAGGCUGCAACUCGCCUACGUGAAGGAGGAAUCGCUAGUAAUCGCAGGUCAGCAUACUGCGGUGAAUACGUUCCCGGGCCUUGUACACACCGCCCGUCACACCAUGGAAGUUGGCCAUGCCCGAAGUCGUUACUCCAACCCUUGUGGAGGAGGACGCCGAAGGUGGGGCUGAUGACUGGGGUGAAGUCGGAACAAGGUA
rnacentral:rRNA from 1 species